UUACAGAGUCGUGCAAAACUCCCACAAACCAUCGCGAAUCUUACCCGUACGGUUGCCUCGGCGCUGGCGGUCGGGAUGGCCCUCGGGCCCCCGGAUCCUCGGGUCUCCCGCUCGCGGGAGGCUGCCCGCCGGAGUGCCGAAACCAAACUCUUGAUAUUUUAUGUUUCUCUGAGUAAACUUUUAAAUAAGUCAAAACUUUCAACAACGGAUCUCUUGGUUCUGGCAUCGAUGAAGAACGCAGCGAAAUGCGAUAAGUAAUGUGAAUUGCAGAAUUCAGUGAAUCAUCGAAUCUUUGAACGCACAUUGCGCUCGCCAGUAUUCUGGCGAGCAUGCCUGUUCGAGCGUCAUUUCAACCAUCAAGCUCUGCUUGCGUUGGGGAUCCGCGUCUGACGCGGUCCCUCAAAAACAGUGGCGGGCUCGCUAGUCACACCGAGCGUAGUAACUCUACAUGGGUAUAGUCGGUGCGGCGGGUUCUUGCCGUAAAACCCCCAAUUUCUAAGGUUGACCUCGGAUCAGGUAGGAAUACCCGCUGAACUU
rnacentral:rRNA from 1 species